UCCGGGCGGAGGACAUUGU
rnacentral:snRNA from 1 species